rnacentral:rRNA from 1 species
UUGAACGCUGGCGGCAGGCCUAACACAUGCAAGUCGAGCGGAUGAAGGGAGCUUGCUCCUGGAUUCAGCGGCGGACGGGUGAGUAAUGCCUAGGAAUCUGCCUGGUAGUGGGGGAUAACGUCCGGAAACGGGCGCUAAUACCGCAUACGUCCUGAGGGAGAAAGUGGGGGAUCUUCGGACCUCACGCUAUCAGAUGAGCCUAGGUCGAAUUAGCUAGUUGGUGGGGUAAAGGCCUACCAAGGCGACGAUCCGUAACUGGUCUGAGAGGAUGAUCAGUCACACUGGAACUGAGACACGGUCCAGACUCCUACGGGAGGCAGCAGUGGGGAAUAUUGGACAAUGGGCGAAAGCCUGAUCCAGCCAUGCCGCGUGUGUGAAGAAGGUCUUCGGAUUGUAAAGCACUUUAAGUUGGGAGGAAGGGCAGUAAGUUAAUACCUUGCUGUUUUGACGUUACCAACAGAAUAAGCACCGGCUAACUUCGUG